GCGGAGGGAUCAUUACCGAGUUAUACAACUCAUCAACCCUGUGAACAUACCUAUAACGUUGCCUCGGCGGGAACAGACGGCCCCGUAACACGGGCCGCCCCCGCCAGAGGACCCCCUAACUCUGUUUCUAUAAUGUUUCUUCUGAGUAAACAAGCAAAUAAAUUAAAACUUUCAACAACGGAUCUCUUGGCUCUGGCAUCGAUGAAGAACGCAGCGAAAUGCGAUAAGUAAUGUGAAUUGCAGAAUUCAGUGAAUCAUCGAAUCUUUGAACGCACAUUGCGCCCGCCAGUAUUCUGGCGGGCAUGCCUGUUCGAGCGUCAUUACAACCCUCAGGCCCCCGGGCCUGGCGUUGGGGAUCGGCGGAAGCCCCCUGCGGGCACAACGCCGUCCCCCAAAUACAGUGGCGGUCCCGCCGCAGCUUCCAUUGCGUAGUAGCUAACACCUCGCAACUGGAGAGCGGCGCGGCCACGCCGUAAAACACCCAACUUCUGAAUGUUGACCUCGAAUCAGGUAGGAAUACCCGCUGAACUUAACAUU
rnacentral:misc_RNA from 1 species